UAUGCGACUUAGUUAGCUUGUUUCUUGGUAUUUAUGUUGUUAGUUCGUAGUUAGUUUAGUAUUUUUAAGCUAUUUUCGUGUGUUUGUAGGUCCAAAGGUUAAUGUGGCAAAGAAGUGCAUUUUGGAGCAUUUUGGAGCAUUUUUAGGUAUAUAAUGGAUAACAUAUGCUUGGAGCAAAAGGAAUGGACGAAAUUUGAAGUUUGUGCAUCAUCCUCUCCCUAUAAAUAACCAUUUUAGCACACUCAUUUCACCAAACACAUCCACUCAUUACAACCACCCAACACAUUCACCUGCCACUACAUCCACUCAUUUCACCCAACACAUUCACUCAUUACAACCACCUAACACAUUCACCUACCAUUACAUCCACUCAUUUCACCCAACACAUCCACUCAUUUCAACCACCCAACACAUUCACCUACCACUACAUCCACUUAUUACCACCACCCACUACAUCCUCUCCUUAGCCUAUAAAUAUAUCCAUCCAAAGACACAUUCAAGGGGACAGUUUAGGGAGAAGGGAGGAAGACACAUUCUGCCGCAAGGUAGAGUCUUUUCUUCUUAACCAUUCUACACAUUCCCAUAACAAAAACACAAUUCCAUGCACCUUCAUUUCCAUUUCCUUGCCGUGACCUCCAUCCAACCUAAACACAUUCAGCCAUUCCUCCAUAUAAACAAACCUUCAAACACUCACCAACACCUUGUGCUGUAGCAAAGGAAGGGAAAGAAAGUGCUUGGAUGUGCUUGCUGUCCAACUUGGAUCGUUAGAGCGUUUAGGUGUUUUCUUUCUUUUGUUUCU
rnacentral:lncRNA from 1 species